GACGAACGCUGGCGGCGUGCUUAACACAUGCAAGUCGAACGGAAAGGCCCUGCUUUUGUGGGGUGCUCGAGUGGCGAACGGGUGAGUAACACGUGAGUAACCUGCCCUUGACUUUGGGAUAACUUCAGGAAACUGGGGCUAAUACCGGAUAGGAGCUCCUGCUGCAUGGUGGGGGUUGGAAAGUUUCGGCGGUUGGGGAUGGACUCGCGGCUUAUCAGCUUGUUGGUGGGGUAGUGGCUUACCAGGGCUUUGACGGGUAGCCGGCCUGAGAGGGUGACCGGCCACAUUGGGACUGAGAUACGGCCCAGACUCCUACGGGAGGCAGCAGUGGGGAAUAUUGCACAAUGGGCGGAAGCCUGAUGCAGCAACGCCGCGUGCGGGAUGACGGCCCUCGGGUUGUAAACCGCUUUCGCCUGUGACGAAGCGUGAGUGACGGUAAUGGGUAAAGAAGCACCGGCUAACUACGUG
rnacentral:rRNA from 1 species